rnacentral:lncRNA from 1 species
UCCACCAGGCUCCGCGUCGAGGCCCUACGGGGCGUCAAUACGCACGCGUACUUUGUGUCCCAGGUAGCUUGUCUCUUAGCCGUGUACGCCUCUGCAUUCCGGUCACUGGGAGCGGGGCCGUGGGGGCUGCACAUACGCACUGCGAGUCCUCGCCUACUCCCCGAAACCACCCGGGCGCAUACGCGGUGCGGCCGCUGCUUCAGGUCGGCGGGCUCCAGGGAGACCUGGGUGGGCAGCGUCGCCGUUUCUCCUUUCUUGGGCGGUAUUUUCCCAGCGCCACGCGGAGCCUGGGCCAUUAUGAGCUCUGCAUUUCCAGGACCCGGUCACUAUUCAGGACACUGUUCCAGCGCAGUGCGCGUUAGCCAUGUCUCAGGUAAGUUUUUGUGUUUUUUUCCUGCAACAUCAUAGGUUUUAAAUCCUGGGCACAUCUAAUUUUGCUUACUUGGGUGGUAAAGACUGACACCGGGACAAGGCUCAGGUCUUUUCA